AGAGUUUGAUCAUGGCUCAGAGCGAACGCUAGCGGCGGGCUUAACACAUGCAAGUCGAGCGCUUCAUUGGGUUCGCCCGAUGGGGAGCGGCGGACGGGUGAGUAACACGUAGGUUACCUGCCCUUAGGUGGGGGAUAACCAGGCGAAAGCUUGGCUAAUACCGCAUAUGGUCUACGGAUCAAAGUCGAAAGACGCCUGAGGAGGGGCCUGCGGCCCAUUAUUUAAUCCUAGUUGGCGGGGUAAUGGCCCACCAAGGGUACGAUGGGUAGCUGGUCUGAGAGGACGAUCAGCCACACUGGGACUGAGACACGGCCCAGACUCCUACGGGAGGCAGCAGUGGGGAAUAUUGCGCAAUGGGCGAAAGCCUGACGCAGCCACGCCGCGUGUGUGAUGAAGGCCUUCGGGUUGUAAAGCACUGUCGGGGGGAACGAAUACUGACGGUACCCCCCAAGAGCCC
rnacentral:rRNA from 1 species